UCUCCUUCCAACUCCUGCGACAAUGACAUGAUGAACAACAUUGAAAACAGGGAAGUUUUGCAGGCGAUUACUUCUUGUACUAACGUGGUGCCCAAGAGAAAAGAGAAAACUGGUGAUAUGGCUAUGCUAACUAGAGAAGAACGAAGACGUCGCCGUCGAGCGACUCAGAAAUACCGCACUGCUCAUGCUACAAGAGAAAGGAUACGUGUAGAAGCAUUCAAUGUAGCCUUUGCAGAACUCAGAAAACUCUUGCCAACUUUACCGCCCGAUAAGAAACUAUCUAAAAUUGAAAUUCUGAGAUUAGCUAUUUGUUAUAUUGCAUAUUUGAAUCACGUCCUGAAAUCGUAAGACAAUAUUAUAAUAAGUGUUUUGUCCACGGUUGAAUUGAUCAGCUAAAAUUUUCAUCUGGUUUCUGUUUGUCGAAUAUUUUUUAUAAUUAUUAUUCGGUUUGCGAACUGGAAAUCACCAGAUCAUACGAAAUAUUAAUAAUAAUAUGUUAUAAUA
rnacentral:lncRNA from 1 species